UGAUCAGGCCCGAGGAUGGCUCGAUCAACCUAACAUUCAUCAGACAGUACAACAGAGUCAUCAUAUGAUGAAUGAUAAUUUUAUCAUUCAGAGAGAACACCAGACAGAUGGCACCUAUAAUGUCAAUCAUAAAUAGUGGAUCCAUUACCAUUCACCUUAAUAGGAGGCUAUGAUUUAGUUAUCAUCAUAACUAGCUCAUUUUAGAGAUCUAAUAAUUUAGAGAAUUUAAUCAAUUUUGAGAAGAGAGAAGAAGAGAUCAAUCAGUAGACUAUAAUCUUUUUACUGAUUUCACCAAGUCACUGAAUUGGAUUAGGGUCAUGCUGAUUGAACUGGCACCUAGAUCAGUCACACUGAUCAACCUUAAUGGCAUGGGCUAACUCGAAUCACUUAGUGAUCUAAUCAAAAUAUAAUUCAUCAAAUUGGCUAGAUAAGUA
rnacentral:lncRNA from 1 species